rnacentral:rRNA from 1 species
AGUGAACGCUGGCGGUAGGCCUAACACAUGCAAGUCGAACGGCAGCACAGUAAGAGCUUGCUCUUACGGGUGGCGAGUGGCGGACGGGUGAGGAAUACAUCGGAAUCUACUUUUUCGUGGGGGAUAACGUAGGGCAACUUACGCUAAUACCGCAUACGACCUACGGGUGAAAGCAGGGGAUCUUUGGACCUUGCGCGAUUGUAUGAGCCGAUGUCGGAUUAGCUAGGUGGCGGGGUAAAGGCCCACCAAGGCGACGAUGCGUAGCUGGUCUGAGGGGAUGAACAGCCAAACUGGAACUGAGACACGGUCCAGAAUCCUACGGGAAGCAACAGUGGGGAAUAUUGGGCGAGGGGGGCAAGGCUGAUCGAGGCAAACCGGGGGGGUGAAGAAGGACUUCGGGUUGGUAAGCCCUGUUGUUGGGGAAGAAAAAAAGCAAGUUUAACCCCCGCUGUUAUGACGGUACCCAAAGAAUAAGCACCGGCUAACUUCGUG